rnacentral:tRNA from 1 species
GGAGAGGUGGCCGAGUGGUCGAAGGCGCACGCCUGGAAAGUGUGUAUAUCGAAAGGUAUCGAGGGUUCGAACCCCUCCUUCUCCGCCA